AGAGUUUGAUUUUGGCUCAGAGCGGACGUUAGCGGCGGGCUUAACACAUGCAAGUCGAACGAGAAAGGGCCCUUCGGGGCCUAAGUAAAGUGGCGCACGGGUGAGUAACACGUGGGUAAUCUACCCUCCGGACGGGGGACAACCACUCGAAAGGGUGGCUAAUACCGCGUACGUCCGGCGGGUCUUCGGACCUGCCGGGGAUAGAUGGCCUCUCCAUGGAAGCUAUCGACGGAGGACGAGCCCGCGGCCCAUCAGCUUGUUGGUAGGGUAAUGGCCUACCAAGGCUUAGACGGGUAGCUGGUCUGAGAGGAUGAUCAGCCACACUGGGACUGAGACACGGCCCAGACUCCUACGGGAGGCAGCAGUGGGGAAUAUUGGGCAAUGGGCGAAAGCCUGACCCAGCCACGCCGCGUGGGUGAUGAAGGCCUUUGGGUCGUAAAGCCCUGUGGGGAGGAACGAAAUAGCGUCGGGAAUAAUACCCCGGCGCUUUGACGGUACCUCCUUAGUAAGCGCCGGUUAAUUUUGUGCCAGUAGUUGUGGUAAUAUGGAGGGCGCAAACGUUGCUCGGAAUUAUUGGGCGUAAAGCGCGUGUAGGCGGCUUGGUUAGUCGAGUGUGAAAGUCCUGGGUUUAACCCAGGAAGUGCGCUCGAAAUUGCCAGGCUUGAGUAUGGGAGAGGGUAGCGGAAUUCCCGGUGUAGAGGUGAAAUUUGUAGAUAUCGGGAGGAAUAUUAGUGGUGAAGGCGGCUGCCUGGACCGAUACUGACGCUGAGACGCGAAAGCGUGGGGAGUAAAUAGGAUUAGACAUCCUGGUAGUCCACGCUGUAAAUGAUGAGUGCUAGGUGUCGCGGGUAUUGAUUCCUGCGGUGCCAAAGUUAAUGUAUUAAGCACUCCGCCUGGGGAGUAUGGCCGUAAGGCUAAAACUCAAAGGAAUUGACGGGGGUCCGCAUAAGUGGUGGAGUAUGUGGUUUAAUUUGAUGCAAUGUGUAGAAUUUUAUUUGGGUUGGAAAUUCCUCGAACCCGCCAGAGAUGGUGGGGUGUUUUUUUGAGGAAUGGGGUGUUUAGGUGCUGUAUGGCUGUCGUCAGCUCGUGUUGUGAGAUGUUGAGUUAAGUCCCGCAACGAGUGUAAUCCCUGUCGUUAGUUGCCAGUGGUUUGGUUGGGCAUUCUAGCGAGACUGCCGGUGUUAAACCGGAGGAAGGUGGGGAUGACGUUAAGUUUUUAUGGCCCCUAUGCCCGGGGCUACAUACGUGUUACAAUGGCCACUAUAAAGGGUUGCGAUACCGUGAGGUGAAGCUAAUCCUAAAAAAAGUGGUCUUAGUUUGGAUUGGAGUCUGUAAUUUGACUCCAUGAAGCCGGAAUUGUUAGUAAUCGCAGAUUAGUAUGCUGCGGUGAAUAUGUUUUCGGGUUUUGUAUACACCGCCCGUCACACCAUGGAAGCUGGAUGCUCCAGAAGUGGCUGAGCUAAUCCUUUAGGGAAGCAGGUCCCCAAGGAGUGUCUGGUGACUGGGGUGAAGUUGGAAUAAGGUA
rnacentral:rRNA from 1 species